rnacentral:rRNA from 1 species
GGGUGAGUAACGUAUCGGAACGUACCCAGUCGUGGGGGAUAACUAUCCGAAAGGAUAGCUAAUACCGCAUACGCACUAAGGUGGAAAGCGGGGGAUCGCAAGACCUCGCGCUCAUGGAGCGGCCGAUAUCUGAUUAGCUAGUUGGUGGGGUAAAAGCCUACCAAGGCGACGAUCAGUAGCUGGUCUGAGAGGACGACCAGCCACACUGGGACUGAGACACGGCCCAGACUCC